AUUGCCAGCUAACUCAUCAGUGGUGAUUUAUCCAGCGGCUUUCAAAGUGCAAUUUCUGGACUAGCAGCAUCAUUUGAGAUUCCUUAGAACCUCACAUUCUUCCCAAGCCCCCUGAAUUGGAAAUUCUGGGGCUGGACCACUGCAACCUGCAGUUUCACCAGGCUUCGAGGUAGACCUGAUGUUCAGAAACCAUAAACAAGGUCUUCGGGCUCUUCACAAACCAUCCCUAUCCUCCUGUUUGACCUGACAUCGCUCUUGAAAGCCCUCAAAGAACAGCCUCAAAGAACACAGCCUCGAAGGGAAGGGCCAUAUUUGUGGGCCUGUCUAACAAUUAAGAGUGACCACAUGGAAUGGGGGAUGAAAGGGUUAAAGAAGAACAAAUAUUGAACACAGCUUUUCUAUGAACAAACUGCAGGCAGCUGCUGCUUUGCAAGAAAAACCCUUUGAAAAGAUUCAGCACGUUGCCAUGGAGAACAUCCCACUGAAGGAAUGUAUAGAAGUAGCAGGGAUCUGCAAUGAGAUGGGAGAAGGCAACAGGCUGUGUGGGAACCACUGAAGCUGGGAUGGCAGGGAAAGAACAUCUUAGGCUAACUCUUCAAGCCUUGCUGUCACAUUUGCUUUUGAGUCUAUGGUGUCAGCUGCCUACCAGUUGCUUUCAUCUCUAGAAAUCUGUGACUUGCAGUAUGACAAGAACAAAAGGUGACAAUACAAAGGACAAAGGGCAAGGAAUACAGACGGAGAAGCCGCUUAGAGUCUAGGAUGGCAGAGGUUCUCUUGAUCAUUUCAUUUUUGAGCGCUUGUAGAGCUUUGGUGUACCAGAGGUGCUUGAACAGCUUACCACACCACAGAUGAAUGGCCUUUGGAUUUCUCCUAAGAAAAUGUGGCUACCUGAAAUUCAACUCCAUUUUCUGGUCUUCAAUAUUUCUUUUGUGUUCAGUUUGCCAGCUGAGGAGAAGUGGCUAAGCAUAGCCUGUUACUGAUGCUAAAGCCCAAGUUCUGAACCUAACAACUCCAGCAACAUGAUCCUGUUUCAAGAGACAAAAAAGUGACUAA
rnacentral:lncRNA from 1 species